CCUUGACACACAGGUGCACAGGCGCACGGAUACACACAAAAGUCCAGGUACAAAAGGACACUAACGUACCUUCACAGUCAAGGUCUAGCAAGACAAGCAUAACUCAUUUACUGUGGUACGACAACAAAUAUUAAAGAGGGAAGUUUUGCAUAUUGGUAAGUCUGUGGAUCAUAAUGUUCUUACACUUCUUUAAAAAUAAAAAAUAAAUGUAAAAUGAA
rnacentral:lncRNA from 1 species